CAGUAGCCGCGGUAAUACGUAGGGUGCAAGCGUUAAUCGGAAUUGCCGGGCGUAAAGCGUGCGCAGGCGGUUAUAUAAGUCAGAUGUGAAAUCCCCGGGCUCAACCUGGGAACUGCAUUUGAGACUGUAUGGCUAGAGUGUGUCAGAGGGGGUAGAAUUCCACGUGUAGCAGUGGAAUGCGUAGAUAUGUGGAGGAAUACCGAUGGCGAAGGCAGCCCCCUGGGAUAACACUGACGCUCAUGCACGAAAGCGUGGGGAGCAAACAGGAUUAGAUACCCCCGUAGUCCCUGUCUUUUAUACC
rnacentral:rRNA from 1 species